CGGCGGACGGGUGAGUAACACGUGGGCAACCUGCCUGUAAGACUGGGAUAACUUCGGGAAACCGAAGCUAAUACCGGAUAGGAUCUUCUCCUUCAUGGGAGAUGAUUGAAAGAUGGUUUCGGCUAUCACUUACAGAUGGGCCCGCGGUGCAUUAGCUAGUUGGUGAGGUAACGGCUCACCAAGGCAACGAUGCAUAGCCGACCUGAGAGGGUGAUCGGCCACACUGGGACUGAGACACGGCCCAACUCCUACGGGGAGGCAGCAGUAGGGAAUCUUCCGCAAUGGACGAAAGUCUGACGGAGCAACGCCGCGUGAGUGAUGAAGGCUUUCGGGUCGUAAAACUCUGUUGUUAGGGAAGAACAAGUACGAGAGUAACUGCUCGUACCUUGACGGUACCUAACCAGAAAGCCACGGCUAACUACGUGCCAGCAGCCGCGGUAAUACGUAGGUGGCAAGCGUUAUCCGGAAUUAUUGGGCGUAAAGCGCGCGCAGGCGGUUUCUUAAGUCUGAUGUGAAAGCCCACGGCUCAACCGUGGAGGUCAUUGGGAAACUGGGGAACUUGAGUGCAGAAAAAAAAAGCGGAAUUCCACGUGUAGCGGUGAAAUGCGUAAAGAUGUGGAGG
rnacentral:rRNA from 1 species